rnacentral:lncRNA from 1 species
GGAAAUACAGCUGAGAGCCUCUGUUGACAGAUGGAUGCCUUCUUAAUCACAGCCUGUGUGGGUAAAGGGAAAGCCUUGCCUGGCCAACCCCUCCCACUCCCACCCCCACCUCCUGCAUUGAUUCACAAACCUGGACUGCUCUGGAGGAGGCUGGGAAAGUCCAUCCCCAGGGAAUACCACUUUUUUCCUCUUCUGUGCCUCUCACAGGACACCCACAUGACUAGGAGGAGGCAGAAAGUGAAUAGGGAGCUCUUAUUACUUUUUGAGUGUCAGCAAGUUAAGACAUCAUCUCCAGAAAACUGUGCUAGUUGGCAUCCAGCAGUGCCCAAGUAUUAUUUAACCCACUAGAACCUGUGACUGCAUCAGCUUUAUAUCCUGGACCUCAGCCUGGAACAAAGGAGAGCUACACUUGGAUACUAAACACAAGUGGUCUGGAUAGAUUAUGCUGGGAAAAGAAGCCUGGAGCAGGCAGUACAGUGGGAGAACAAGGAGAGAAUGGAGUUGCAGCAGACUGCUCAGGAAUUGUACAUCACCAGUAGCUUCUGUCUCAGCUAAGUGUGGGAGACUGAUACUGAUGAGCCAUUAACAAUGGUGGAGAUUCUGAAUCACUGAAGCACUUGAUAAAAGAAAUGUCGUGGGUGAUGUGAAAAUCUACAUAUGCCCAUGAGAGUAUAUUGAGUUUACAGAAGUGCUUGCCUUGGUGAUCCAAAAAAGGCAGGAUCCGGCCGGGGGCAAGGUGAUUAUUCUGUCUGAUGAGGAGAAUAAGAGCCAGUUUGUGGUAUUGACAGAAGAAUGAAAGUAAAGUCUUGAAAGAUGGGAAGAUCAGGAGCAGUCUGGAGUCAUGGUAUAUGAAUGAACUAGUGAGAGUGGGCACAAAGUCUGAAGAUCUUUGUAGUGCAGCUAAUGUCUAAGGGAGAAUAUACCUACCCUAGAAGAGACAUUAAACAACCAGUUCAACCAAUCUACAAAGGCCAAAAAUAUUUUCACAGGCCCCCAAAAGAUGAACUCCAAUCUGCUGCCCCUAAACGCAUUCUCCACUGUCUGGAAGAUGUGCAAAGGCAACGGCACAGCGUUCUCCAUCUCAAAUCCUUCAAAGUGCUGUCAGAAUAAAAGAAUCCCCACCAAAAGCCCCAGGGAAAUCUAUCUGUCUGUAUGGUAUGGUAAUGACUGAGGUUAUUCCAGAUAGGAUUCUGGGAGAAACUCAGCUAUUGAAAUCUAAUGAAUGGAACUGAGAAUUUCUUGUUAUAAUACUGUUUGUUUGAUUGAAUAUAUCCUUGCAUAUAGGAAGACAUAAAAAUAAAUAAUAAAAGCAA